rnacentral:rRNA from 1 species
GACGAACGCUGGCGGCGUGCUUAACACAUGCAAGUCGAACGGUGAUGCUCCAGCUUGCUGGAGUGGAUCAGUGGCGAACGGGUGAGUAACACGUGAGCAACCUGCCCCAGACUCUGGAAUAAGCGCUGGAAACGGCGUCUAAUACUGGAUACGAAACUGGCCCGCAUGGGCAUGGUUUGGAAAGUUUUUCGGUUUGGGAUGGGCUCGCGGCCUAUCAGCUUGUUGGUGGGGUAAUGGCUCACCAAGGCGACGACGGGUAGCCGGCCUGAGAGGGCGACCGGGCACCCGGGGGACUGGAAACGGCCCAGGCCCCACAGGGGGGCAGGGGGGGGGAAUUUGGCCAAACGGGGCGAAGGCUGGAGCCAGCGCCCCGGGGGGGGGAAGGAGGCCCUUGGGGUUGAAAACCGCUUCCAGAAGGAAAGAACGGAAAGGGAGGGUCCUGGCAGAAGAACCCCCGCUUACCUCGGG